rnacentral:rRNA from 1 species
CCUACGGGUGGCAGCAGUGGGGGAUAUUGCACAAUGGGGGAAACCCUGAUGCAGCGACGCCGCGUGUCGGAAGACGGUCCUCUGGAUUGUAAACUACUGUCCCCAGGGACGAAGAUGACGGUACCUGGGGAGGAAGCUCCGGCUAACUACGUGCCAGCAGCCGCGGUAAUACGUAGGAGCGAGCGUUGUCCGGAAUUACGGGGUGUAAAGGGAUCGUAGGCGGGGAUGCAAGGUGGGUGUUAAAUCUACCGACUCAAAUGGGAGUCGCACUCAAAAAUGCAGCUCUUGAGUGAAGUAGAGGCAGGCGGAAUUCCUAGUGUAGCGGUGAAAUGCGUAGAUAUUAGGAGGAACACCAGUGGCGAAGGCGGCCUGCUGGGCUUUUACUGACGCUGAGGCUCGAAAGUGUGGGGAGCAAACAGGAUUAGAUACCCCUGUAGUC